CAGUAGAGUGGCCAUCAUGUAAUAGCCUAUUUGCUAGUGUCCAACAAUAUCCACCGCAUCUGUCUUCAGUGUAAACAAUUAUUCCUGCUAAUCGACACAAUUUCACGUGAUAAUUGGAGACGUAAAAAAAAAACGAUCUUCCCUGGAUACUGAUGUGAAAGAGUUUUAUACUACCAACAAUUCUGAAGAUGACAAAUCCAAUAUCGAGUCAGUGAAAUUGCUUAAAAGUGUGAAGUAGGAGUCUGUCGGAGUAAGACCGAAGUAGAUUUCGGUGUACAAUCAAUCCAUUUGACAGUAUGUGGUACGCCGGUUGAUAUCUGGAAAACGUGUCUUGAUAGUGAGCCUACUGAAGAGAGAUUAUACGAAUGUGAUGCCUGUGGUAAAUAUAUCAGAAAAAUUCCAACUUUGUCCCCUGACUAUAAGAGAUCACCACGAAGCUAUGAUGAGUUGCAAAAAGCCCUUCCCUUCUGCGAGAGCCUCAGAAAAGUUUUCUGUCGAAGGAAAUCGUGUUCAGGUUAAUGUGUGGUGACAACAACCCCCAAUUUUCAUCUGUUCAUUGAUCUUCCCCAAGGAUCUCCACAAUCUUCUAUUGAUGCCAUUCCCAAAUCUAUCCAACGAGAAUCCGAUUAUCGAUUAGCGGGAAUAAUUGCUUACACUGAAGACAGUUACGUUGGAUAUUGUUGGACACUAGCAAAUUGGCUAUUAUAUGAUGGCCACUCUACUGCGGUUCAGACUGUAUCCGGGUCUGCGAAGAUUCAACCAAAAGGUUUUAUUUACGUUGUCAAGGAAUCACAGCCUGCAAAAUAACUUUAAUGUAUGAUUAAGUAUUAAGUUGUCCAGUGCGUUUGUUGAAUGCAAAUAAUGGAUAUUUAAGCUUUAAAUUUUAAGAGAUCUAUUAUGAUAAACCACCAAAAAGUUCGUGAUGAAUCAUGAAGAAUGCAGAAAUCUUACGAUUAUUUAUGAAUGUCUCCAUCAUGAUAGAAUCACAGAAAAUAUUGAAGACUUGUUAUUUUUAAGGACAAAAUAAUGGACAUAGUUCGAACUAAUAUACAAUGAACCAUCAAUGACCUGUCUGUCCGCUAUUUACUCGAUAUGACCUUUUUUAACUGAACAGAUCACAAGUCCAG